rnacentral:rRNA from 1 species
CCUACGGGUGGCUGCAGUGGGGAAUAUUGGACAAUGGGGGCAACCCUGAUCCAGCCAUGCCGCGUGUGUGAAGAAGGCCCUCGGGUUGUAAAGCACUUUCAGUGAGGAAGAACGCCUGGUGGUUAAUACCCAUCAGGAAAGACAUCACUCACAGAAGAAGCACCGGCUAACUCCGUGCCAGCAGCCGCGGUAAUACGGAGGGUGCGAGCGUUAAUCGGAAUUACUGGGCGUAAAGCGCGCGUAGGUGGCUUGAUAAGCCGGUUGUGAAAGCCCCGGGCUCAACCGGGGAACGGCAUCCGGAACUGUCAAGCUAGAGUGCAGGAGAGGAAGGUAGAAUUCCCGGUGUAGCGGUGAAAUGCGUAGAGAUCGGGAGGAAUACCAGUGGCGAAGGCGGGCUUCUGGACUGACACUGACACUGAGGUGCGAAAGCGUGGGUAGCAAACAGGAUUAGAUACCCGGGUAGUC